rnacentral:rRNA from 1 species
UACGUAGGGUGCGAGCGUUAAUCGGAAUUACUGGGCGUAAAGCGUGCGCAGGCGGUCUGUUAAGACCGAUGUGAAAUCCCCGGGCUUAACCUGGGAACUGCAUUGGUGACUGGCAGGCUUUGAGUGUGGCAGAGGGAGGUAGAAUUCCACGUGUAGCAGUGAAAUGCGUAGAGAUGUGGAGGAAGACCGAUGGCGAAGGCAGCCUCCUGGGCCAACACUGACGCUCAUGCACGAAAGCGUGGGGAGCAAACAGG